GAGAUCUCGUGAUAAAAUGAGAUGAUGAUGGUCACGAGAAGUCAGCUGCGCCGUAGUACUUUUUCCUCCUUGGAGGAAAAAGGAAGGGC
rfam:Candidatus Vogelbacteria bacterium RIFOXYD1_FTLL_44_32 rifoxyd1_full_scaffold_27, whole genome shotgun sequence.